rnacentral:rRNA from 1 species
AGCGAACGCUGGCGGCAGGCCUAACACAUGCAAGUCGAACGAACCUUUCGGGGUUAGUGGCGGACGGGUGAGUAACACGUGGGAACGUGCCUUUAGGUUCGGAAUAACUCAGGGAAACUUGUGCUAAUACCGAAUGUGCCCUUCGGGGGAAAGAUUUAUCGCCUCUAGAGCGGCCCGCGUCUGAUUAGCUAGUUGGUUGAGGUAAUGGCUCACCAAGGCGACGAUCAGUAGCUGGUCUGAGAGGAUGAUCAGCCACAUUGGGACUGAGACACGGCCCAAACUCCUACGGGAGGCAGCAGUGGGGAAUCUUGCGCAAUGGGCGAAAGCCUGACGCAGCCAUGCCGCGUGAAUGAUGAAGGUCUUAGGAUUGUAAAAUUCUUUCACCGGGGACGAUAAUGACGGUACCCGGAGAAGAAGCCCCGGCUAACUUCGUG